rnacentral:misc_RNA from 1 species
AAUCAAUUAGUCGGUAGUUAUAAACCAUAAUAAAGAAAGGUGUAACUCGUUUUCAUAGGUUAAAAUAAAUCUAUUUCCAAUUUUGUUAAAGAUGGUAAACGCCAUCGAAGAAGAAAAAUUUUUCUUUAAGGGACAAAAUUAAGGAUGUAAAAAGGAGUUUACUAAAGGAAGUUUUGCGUAUGUGUAUGCUGGAUAUUUUAACAAAAAAAGGAUUAGUUUCGACCAGGGCAUUGGCGGCAGAGCAAAAAAAAUAAUCAGAAAAGAAGCUCUAAUAAGAAGACUUCUGAAAGCUGAUUGUUUUGACGACUGGAAAACUAUGGUAACGAAAUUUAAAAAAUCCAAUAAUAAAGAUAAAUAUUUCGACCGGAAAAUUAUCCCGCAAAUUUUUGCUCACGAGGACAAAGAUGAAUGGAGGUAUUUUGCCUUGGAGCCAUACAUUUCCACUUUGUACGAUUACUGCCGCUGUGAUGGACAGUACAAGGGACCAACGUUGCUCAGCAAAUCUCAAGUCAUUGAUCAAAUGAUCAGCGGAAUCAAGUAUCUGCAUAACUUAGAGUAUCCACACGGGGAUCUUAAUCCGCUCAACAUUAUCAUUUCUCGAGACGGGCGAAUAAAACUAUCCGAUUUCGGAUUGUCGAAACUUAGUUAUACCAAAUCAAACCAACCCGAUAAUCUCUCGAUUCAAAUUCCGGAGAUCUGUCGAAGGAAAUACUGGCUGAAAUAGACUUCAGGGAAAGAUAGUAAGCGCAACCAUGAAAUUGUGAACAGCGAAAAUCUAAAUUUUUCCUACAAAAGAGGGUGGCUUUUUCGCUCUGGGAUGCUUGAUUGUUUAUUUCCUUUUAACGGGUGUGCAUCCGUUUGGUGAUGAUAUUCAAGCCAUCGAAUAUAAUAUGAAGAACAACAAUCCAAUCAACUUGGAAAGAAAAUGACCAGAACGUUUAAUAUUCUUUAUAAUUGAACGAGGAUCAUAACAAGCCGUUUCAAUCUGCACUCGACAAUAUGAUACGACAACCGGAAAAUUUAUCGAAAUGGUGGCGCGAAGCUAUCAAACAAUUUGAAGAGACGCUAUUACGUAUAGUCAUUCAUUUAUUUUUCUUAUCCAUCAAUCAAUUGAUUUGUUUUUGAUUGGAUUGUUCGGAAUGUAACACUUUGCCGGAAGUGUCUACCGGUAACAUACCAAAAUAUGAGGAAAUAAACGACACCUGAGAAUAAGGUGUUAACCCAAUGGACUUUUCUUUCACACUGAUUUAUUUCUAGCACAAAAGUGGGCGGAUUACACACUUGGG